rnacentral:rRNA from 1 species
GACGAACGCUGGCGGCGUGCCUAAUACAUGCAAGUAGAACGCUGAAGGAGGAGCUUGCUUCUCUGGAUGAGUUGCGAACGGGUGAGUAACGCGUAGGUAACCUGCCUGGUAGCGGGGGAUAACUAUUGGAAACGAUAGCUAAUACCGCAUAAGAGUAGAUGUUGCAUGACAUUUGCUUAAAAGGUGCAAUUGCAUCACUACCAGAUGGACCUGCGUUGUAUUAGCUAGUUGGUGGGGUAACGGCUCACCAAGGCGACGAUACAUAGCCGACCUGAGAGGGUGAUCGGCCACACUGGGACUGAGACACGGCCCAGACUCCUACGGGAGGCAGCAGUAGGGAAGCUUCGGCAAUGGACGGAAGGCUGACCGAGCAACGCCGCGUGAGGGAAGAAGGUUUUCGGAUCGUAAAGCUCUGUUGUAAGAGAAGAACGAGUGUGAGAGUGGAAAGUUCACACUGUGACGGUAUCUUACCAGAAAGGGACGGCUAACUACGUG